rnacentral:tRNA from 1 species
AAACCUCACCACCAACACCCAAAGCUGGAAUUCUACAUAAACUAUUCCUUUG